UACGUAGGCAGCGAGCGUUGUUCGGAGUUACUGGGCGUAAAGCGUGCGUAGGCGGUCUUGUAAGUCUGUUGUGAAAUCUCCCGGCUCAACCGGGAGGGUGCGGUGGAAACUGCAGGGCUGGAGUAUGGGAGAGGUAGGCGGAAUUCCUGGUGUAGCGGUGAAAUGCGUAGAUAUCAGGAGGAACACCAGCGGUGUAGACGGCUUACUGGACCAUCACUGACGCUGAGGCACGAAAGCGUGGGGAGCAAACAGG
rnacentral:rRNA from 1 species